GCUACUCGGUGCGUUUGGCAUACCAGACGUUCUUCUAUGGCCAACACACCUUUGCCUGUGAUGAUCUUAUCUGGCAUGCGAAUGGUCUUGCUAAAUGUAAGUCCUUCCUCUGGUUUGCAUUUCAGCAACAUUGCUGGAUGACCAAUCUCCUCCAAAAGCGUGGCAUCGAUAGCCACUCAGUCUACCCCUUUUGCGCUCAGGAGCUUGAGACGGGGAACCACAUCCUCCUUGGCUACGUGUUCGCUCAGCAAGUCUGGCUCCGUGUGCUGUCGCUUUCUGAUUGGUCUACCCUCUCUCCUCCUCAUGGCAACUAGCUCCAGGACUGGUGGCCAUCUUCUAGGGCAUGCUUACCUGAGCAUCUCCAUGCCGGCUUCGACUCCUGAGUCCUCCUGGUAUCUUGGCAACUGCGGAAGGAGUGAAACUCCAAGGUUUUCAACUCUGCUCUCUUCGGUCUCAGUGGUUCUAGAGUCCAUCCUCACUGAGGGCCAUCUAUGGUCGUUAGCUGGCGUUGCUUCUUUUGGAGUUUUCUUGGGAGGGUAGUGUGGCUCUGCCCCCUUCCCGCUGAUUGGAAUUGCGUUUAACAGUCGUAGUAGUCUCUUCCUUUUUCCUUUGUUUUUUUUGUUGUUUCUCCCUUCCCUUGGCAUAAGCCGGUUUGGCUAAUUGCGUUGUGUAAACAAACUCUCUUUUAUUCUAAUAUAUUGACGUGCAAUCUUUUUGCGCGUUCACGAAAGAAAAAGAAGAAAGGGAAAAAAUAAUAUGAAAGAGAGGUUGAGACCCUCAAGCAAAUGGAUUAGGAUUAGCGUUCUACUUAUUGGGGAUUGUUAUUGAGCAAACUAGAUGAUUAAUUUCCCGCACAUUGCAGCAGGAUGAUUGUGCAUACAAAUAAAAAUAAUGAACGUAAAAAAAAUGAUGUUGAGUACCUAGAAAUAAAACAAUGUUUAACUUUUGAUUACCUGAGCUAUUAAAAUAAUCAAAACACUAUUUAUAAUAUUUAGAAUAUGAAUUUGCUUAUGGUAGUUUUACUUCUUCUUUGUAUUUUUAAAUGGAUCGGAUGGUUAGGACAAAAUUUGUUGAUGAUUAGUCACGCAAAUGCUUUAAUAUUCAGAUUAAAGCCUGAGAAAGAUCCAAAGACUAUAGAUCUGUGCGUUCCCAGUCAAACUUCCUUUUCCCAAAAACUUCCGUUCAAACAACUUUAUAGGAAACAAAACUUAAUAUGAAAGCUUCCGUAUGAGAAAAAAGUGUGCGUUGGGAACAAAGUUACGCUAAAUAGCAGUUAUGGUACUUCCCGUUCGAAAAUAUAAGGCACAACUAUCCUUAAUGCAAAGACCAAAAACUAUUAUUAUUAUUUAGUCUCGUUUGAAUCAUCCUAAUAAAUAGAAUGCAUGCAUCUAAUAAAAUUAGAUAUUUAAAGGGUGUAGGAUUUUAAAAAUAAUAAUUCCGACGAAAAGAGGUACUAAUUAAUUGCUUUCAUGCAUGCAUAUGCCUUAUAUUAUGAAACAUGUGAAAAACAAUAGCUGUAUUUUAUAUUUUAGAAUGGAAGGAGUUUUUGUACUUUUUUUUCCAGAUCCCAAAUGGCCACAUGAGCUGGCUAGCUCUCCUACACUUCACUCAUUCAUUGAAUGACCUUUUUUUUAAGAUCAGUACAAACGCAAACUCAAACGUUCUUAACAUGCGUAUAGUCAUCCCUAAUAAUACACAUUCGCACACCUCAUUCCCUGGAAGGAUCUCUAAAAAAACUAGACCGACAUAUCUCGUGAUCGACGAAAUUACUAUGGGCGUCUCAACGUCGACGGGUACGUCACAUACCACUGAAAGAAUAAUUAUCGUUCAUUUGAGUAUAUAUAUUUGAUGUGGGAAAAUGUUUUGAUUUUUCGAGAUGAUGCCUAUCGGUUGUAUAAAAAUAAUCUAAAUGAUUAUAAAGAUUCUCAAAAGAAUUAGAAAGAAGUUUAUUUUAUCAGAACACUUAACUUCCUAAACUAUUUUUGGCUCAUUUUACACCCUCAGCUAUUGAAAACAGUUGCCUUCACCAUUCUAACGCUAUUUUUCUUUUUUGUUUCUCUCUAUAUAAGACAUAUUUUGCAUUGAAAUUUGUUAGGGCCAUAGAUGGCUACAUGAUCAAAGUUCAAAAGAAUUUUCAUCGUUGUUUGUUUGAACUUUUAAAUUUGAUGAUUAAAUCAGUCUCAAGUGUUUUCAACCAGUGUAACAGUGUUCUUUUUUAGAAAAAAAAAGGUGAGAUGUGUAAGUUGUGAACGCAUCUAUAUUCUAAGAACAUUCGCACAGAUUGUUUUGUUCCCUCGAAGGAUAUAUAGAUGUCCCUAGUUGACAUGCAUAUGCUGCAAGUUGUUUCAAUGAAGUCUGAUGGAUCGUACAUCUAGUAGCAUAUAAAAGUCCCAUAUUCCUAUGGGUUUGUGCAUAUAUUAUAUGAUGCACGUAAGUACAUGCAUGACCCCACGUUGUUACGGGAUCAAAUACAGUUGCUACUAGGAUUGCACAAUAACUACUGCACACAAUCUGAGCCCUCUAUGUCUGAAUCUAACGGCCAAAAAAGAUCCAGCACAGUAAAAUCAAAACAGUAAAUUGCUACAGUGUUUUGUCACAGUAAAUCGCUACAGUGUUCAGAUGUACCUCGGGUGUCCAUUUUGAAUCAUGCCAUGCUAGUGUGGACUGCUUAUCUUGCGGUAUCACUAGCUACUGCACCUGAAUCGAACGUUGUUACGUUGUGCUAUAUAUACUGAACGGUCGCGCCACUGCAAGGCAUAUAGAGGAUCGAAUUUAUAUCGAGUAUAUUAGGAUAAUGGCCGUGAAGAAGACGAUGAAGGUCGUGUUCUCCCUUGUGCUCUUGCUGCUCCCUCUCGCCUCUACCUCGGCGGUGGAGGUGAAAUUCGACUUCAUGUAUUUUGUUCAGCAGUGGGCUCCAUCGUACUGCUCCACUGCCCCGCACGAGUGCGAGUACGAGCCCCGGCUACCCCCAAAUAACUUCACCAUCCGUGGCCUAUGGCCGAGCUACGAGGAAUGGCGGCCGGAGUACUGCAACAUCAGCGACCGCCUCGACCCGGGGCAGAUCCAGGACCUGGUGAAGCCGCUGAACCAGUCAUGGCCGUCGCUGCUGCGCAACGAGACCAACCUCGAGCUGUGGAGCCACGAGUGGAGCAAGCACGGCACCUGCUCCAACCUCAGCCAGCACGGCUACUUCGCCGCCGCGCUCGCGCUGGACAAGCUUAAGCUCACCAACCUUACCAAGAUCCUCGCCGACGGCGGCGUCGUGCCGUCCGACGAGAAGACCUACACGCUCGGCGAGAUCAGCGACGCACUCGCCAAGGGCACUGGGUUCAGCACCUACCUCCGGUGUAGCCAGAACGAGCUCAAGUACGGGGAGACGCUGCUGUACGAGGUUUUGCAGUGCGUCGACCGCUCCGGCGAGAAGCUCGUCAACUGCACGACGCCGUACUGGGUGACCCGCUGCCUUGACCCUGACAAGAUCAAGAUACCGGCUUGGUUCUAUGGACAGUAGCAGCACUAGCUAUAAUCUAGAUUAAUGCUGCCGCAUGAUUAUAAUCUUCCAAUAUAAUCUAGGCGUCAUGCAUGUCUAUUAAUUUGUUUCCUGUAGGAGUGUCAAGUUCAGAGUUUGCUAGCUAAUUAGGUAAAUAAGCUGUCAAGAAAGUUGUUGUCCGUGCUUGUGCGAAUCCGUUCGAGUCAGAGAUUGUUACAGAAUGAUCUUCUGCUGUU